GUGAUGUCACAGAGGCGCCAAAAUCCUGGCAAAGUUGUGACGUAUAAUGUCCGCGCCAGCGUGGUUUAGGUAGGCUCCCGUUCUGCCAAUCGACCUUAUUCGUGGCUCUCCUGCUUGCUGAACUGUUGGUGUCCAGGCGUCCUCAUUGAAGAUGAGUUUAGCUAACUUCAACCUGCUAGCCUGGAGGCUCCACGUGUUUUAUGAAAAAUGGAGCACACAAGCUCAAGGGGGUUGAAGGUUAAAAUAAAGUGAUGGACAAACUCCAUAUUAUCUGCCCAAACGAAGGAGGAUGGAGGUGUUGGGCUGGUUGGUGCUCAUAAAUACGGGUACAUGCAACUUUGGUUGCUUCUGUGUCCCUGCAGAUCUAGCUGUUCCCUGUGAUGCUUCAAGAUGAGUCAAGAGGAUGAAAUGGGAAAAGGUGUAUCUGUAUCAUUAUGGAACAUAAUUCUGCUCAGUGUGACGGAGACUUGGAAGAAUUGUCGUCUGACAACUGCUUUGAGGAGUUGCAGCAGUUUUCUUUUAACAUUUUGUUUCAUAGCCAAUUACUAUGUAUAAAAUCAACAGCAUUUAUGUAAAGUUGCUUAAACAAAUUUAUAUUUUAUGGGGGGAUAUGUUGCUACUGUUGAGGUGAACAGAAAUACUCUUAGUUAACCUCGCAUUUCAUUGUUUGCUCUGAUUUAGUUACUUGUCAACAAGAAUACUAAUAAAUUACUACAUCAAGUGACAUUAA